rnacentral:rRNA from 1 species
AGUCACUGACAUUAGAUACCCGCGUAGUCCAGGGUGUAAACGCUGCAGACUUGGUGUUGGAAGUCUUUGGGGGCAUUCAGUGCCGGAGAGAAGUUGUUAAGUCUGCUACUUGGGGAGUACGUCCGCAAGGAUGAAACUUAAAGGAAUUGGCGGGGGAGCACCACAACGGGUGGAGCCUGCGGUUUAAUUGGACUCAACGCCGGAAAUCUCACCGGAUAGGACAGACAUAUGAUAGUCGGGCUGAAGACUCUACUUGAUGAUCUG